rnacentral:tRNA from 1 species
CUUUAGCUCAGUUGGUAGAGCAACUGACUCUUAAUCAGUGGGUCCGGGGUUCGAGUCCCCG